rnacentral:rRNA from 1 species
UCGAAAGACCUUGCGCUUUGGGAGCGGCCGAUGUCUGAUUAGCUAGUUGGUGGGGUAAAGGCCUACCAAGGCGACGAUCAGUAGUUGGUCUGAGAGGACGACCAGCCACACUGGGACUGAGACACGGCCCAGACUCCUACGGGAGGCAGCAGUGGGGAAUUUUGGACAAUGGGCGCAAGCCUGAUCCAGCAAUGCCGCGUGAGUGAAGAAGGCCUUCGGGUUGUAAAGCUCUUUCAGUCGAGAAGAAAAAGCUGCAGUGAAUAACUGUAGUUCAUGACGGUAUCGACAGAAGAAGCACCGGCUAACUACGUGCCAGCAGCCGCGGUAAUACGUAGGGUGCGAGCGUUAAUCGGAAUUACUGGGCGUAAAGGGUGCGCAGGCGGCUUUGUAAGUCAGAUGUGAAAUCCCCGGGCUUAACCUGGGAAUU